rnacentral:rRNA from 1 species
GACGAACGCUGGCGGCGUGCUUAACACAUGCAAGUCGAACGGUGAAGCUCCAGCUUGCUGGAGUGGAUCAGUGGCGAACGGGUGAGUAACACGUGAGCAACCUGCCCCUGACUCUGGAAUAAGCGCUGGAAACGGCGUCUAAUACUGGAUACGAGAAGGGCCCGCAUGGGCACUUUCUGGAAAGUUUUUCGGUUGGGGAUGGGCUCGCGGCCUAUCAGCUUGUUGGUGAGGUAAUGGCUCACCAAGGCGACGACGGGUAGCCGGCCUGAGAGGGCGACCGGCCACACUGGGACUGAGACACGGCGCAGACUCCUACGGGAGGCAGCAGUGGGGAAUAUUGCACAAUGGGCGAAAGCCUGAUGCAGCGACGCCGCGUGAGGGAUGACGGCCUUCGGGUUGUAAACCUCUUUCAGCAGGGAAGAAGCGAAAGUGACGGUACCUGCAGAAGAAGCACCGGCUAACUACGUG